ensembl:misc_RNA Y_RNA Y RNA
GGCUGGUCCGAGUGCAGCGGCGUUUACAGCUAAUUGAUCACAACCAGCCAGUUACUUGUUCCUUCUUCACUCUCACUGUUUCACUUGACUAGUUUUAA